CCAUAACCGACUGUCCGGGGGGAGCAUGGCGGCCUGCUACACGCUGUAUGAAUGGUGUUGGGUACAUGUUCCCUAAUGCACAGCCUGUGUGUGGGUUCACGUGCUGUUUUUGGGGAGCAUUUCUAUAGUAUAGUCAGUCCCUGCAGGCUUUUUAAAGUGAAACUCCAGUGGCACUGCAGGUCCCCUCCCACCCCCCAAUCUCCGGUUGCUGAAGGGGUGAAAACCGUCGCUGCUUCUUACGCCGCGCCGCUCCUCCCUCUGAUUGCGUCGGCCGGUGGACGAGACUGUUCCCACUCACCGGCCGGGAGACCUAAUGCGCAUGCACGACAUUCAAUGCUUUCCUAUGGGGAAAUGAGGGCUGGAGGUACUCACACAGCGUGAGGACGUCCAGUGAUGCUAUGGACCAG